GUGUAUGGUGGGCAGUUUGACUGGGGCGGUCUCCUCCUAAAGAGUAACGGAGGAGUACGAAGGUGCGCUCAGACCGGUCGGAAAUCGGUCGCAGAGUAUAAAGGCAAAAGCGCGCUUGACUGCGAGACAGACACGUCGAGCAGGUACGAAAGUAGGUCUUAGUGAUCCGGUGGUUCUGUAUGGAAGGGCCAUCGCUCAACGGAUAAAAGGUACUCCGGGGAUAACAGGCUGAUACCGCCCAAGAGUUCAUAUCGACGGCGGUGUUUGGCACCUCGAUGUCGGCUCAUCACAUCCUGGGGCUGAAGCCGGUCCCAAGGGUAUGGCUGUUCGCCAUUUAAAGUGGUACGCGAGCUGGGUUUAGAACGUCGUGAGACAGUUCGGUCCCUAUCUGCCGUGGACGUUUGAGAUUUGAGAGGGGCUGCUCCUAGUACGAGAGGACCGGAGUGGACGAACCUCUGGUGUUCCGGUUGUCACGCCAGUGGCAUUGCCGGGUAGCUAUGUUCGGAAAAGAUAACCGCUGAAAGCAUCUAAGCGGGAAACUUGCCUCAAGAUGAGAUCUCACUGGGAACUUGAUUCCCCUGAAGGGCCGUCGAAGACUACGACGUUGAUAGGCUGGGUG
rnacentral:rRNA from 1 species